UACAGAGGGUGCGAGCGUUAAUCGGAAUUACUGGGCGUAAAGGGCGCGUAGGCGGUUUAAUAAGUUAUGUGUGAAAGCUCUGGGCUUAACCUGGGAACUGCACAUAAUACUGUUAAGCUAGAGUAGAGUAGAGGAAAGUGGAAUUUCCGGUGUAGCGGUGAAAUGCGUAGAUAUCGGAAGGAACACCAGUGGCGAAGGCGGCUUUCUGGACUCAUACUGACGCUGAGGCGCGAAAGCGUGGGGAGCAAACAGG
rnacentral:rRNA from 2 species